CACGUAGGGGGCAAGCGUUGUCCGGAUUUAUUGGGCGUAAAGAGCUCGUAGGCGGUUCGGUAAGUCGGGUGUGAAACCUCCAGGCUCAACCUGGAGACGCCACCCGAUACUGCUGUGACUAGAGUCCGGUAGGGGAGCGUGGAAUUCCUGGUGUAGCGGUGAAAUGCGCAGAUAUCAGGAGGAACACCAAUGGCGAAGGCAGCUCGCUGGAACGGUACUGACGCUGAGGCGCGAAAGCGUGGGGAGCGAACAGG
rnacentral:rRNA from 1 species